UUUUUCGCACUUUUUCGUUAGAUAUUAUGAUCCCAAAGUCUCCAUCCACAGACUAAUUCAGUAUAAUCUCUGUGUCAGCUACAAUUAUACACGGUCUAACCAGGAUACAAACCUAGAGCAGCACAACAACACAAAAUAAAUAUACUAAAAGACUAAAUUAAUGGGGAUAACUAAGGCAUUGAAAAACUAAAGCUGAACAAUAAUUAUAAUGUGUGUGUGUGUGUGUGUGAAAAUUCCAGAAAAGCAUAUGGAAAAGUAUAAAAGUCAAAAGAUGUAUUUUUUGUCUAGGAAGAAACAUUUAAUACACAGGAAAUUAUCAAAUUUUAAAUAAGUUAGGCCCAUCUUAGUAUAAGAAAGGGUGACACGAAAAGAAGGCGAAAGAAGGUGUACCUGCGGUUUUCUCUAGUGCACGGGCCACUUGAUUUAGAGAUAUCCUCUCUAUAGUACUUGUUCAUAGUCUGGCCUGGUAAGAAAGCAGGGUGGAAAACUAAAGGUUUGUGGGCUAUUUGUCGCCUGCCCGCCACCACCAAAUCAGGGGAAGACCCCGCAGCCGCCGCAAAUCGCUGGGCCACAGGGGGCGGUGAAGGGUGAAAGCUCCGACAGUGGCCAUCGCACGAUAAAUAAAGGCAGAAAAAAAACUCAAAUUAGCGGAUCUUCAUACCCACUGCUAUAGAUUCAAAUAAC
rnacentral:lncRNA from 1 species